AUGGCUACUCCAUCGACAUCACUUAUCAAACACCAGUGCAACCACCACUGCAAGCAAGCCAACAGGCCAGAUUCAGUGCCAAGAGAGAUUCUGGCAAUCUUAGCAGAAGAGAAAGAAUCCAAAGACAAACCUGAAAUUGAAGAUGUUGGUUCUGAUGAGGAAGAAGAAGAAAAGAAGGAUGGUGACAAGAAGAAGAAGAAGAAGAAGAAGAUUAAGGAAAAGUACAUCGAUCCAGAAGAACUCAACAAAACAAAGCCCAUCUGGACCAGAAAUCCAGAUGAUAUUACUAAUGAGGAGUACAGAGAAUUCUACAAGAGCUUGACCAAUGACUGGGAAGAUCACUUGUCAGUGAAGCAUUUUUCAGUUGAAGGACAGUUGGAAUACAGAGCCCUUCUAUUUUCCCAUGAUGUGCUCCUUUUGACCUGUUUGAAAACAGAAAGAAAAAGAACAACAUCAAAUUGUAUGUACACAGAGUUUUCAUCAUGGAUAACUGUGAGGAGCUAAUCCCUGAAUAUCUGAACUUCAUUAGAGAGUGGUGGUAGACUCGGAGGAUCUCCCUCUAAAUAUUUCCCGUAAGAUGUUGCAACAAAGCAAAAUUUUGAAAGUUAUCAGGAAGAAUUUGGUCAAAAAAUGCUUAGAACUCUUUACUGAACUGGCAGAAGAUAAAGAGAACUACAAGAGGUUCUAUGAGCAGUUCUCUAAAAACAUAAAGCUUGGAAUACACGAAGACUCUCAAAAUCAGAAGAAGCUUUCAGAGCUGCUAAGGUACUACACAUCUGCCUCUGGUGAUGAGGUGGUGUCUCUCAAGGACUACCGCACCAGAAUGAAGGAAAACCAGAAAUGGAUCUUAAAGUUGUCUUAUCAGAAGUGGAGACUGACAUCUUAUUGA